UGGAGGUGAAUAAUAAAAAGAAAGGAAAACGCGAGCCUCCGCCGAUGUGGUGCUAGCCACCACCACCGAGCCCUAGCAGCAAAGGGAGUGGUGGCUUAUUCCACGGCGCAUCUCCACGCGUGCAGCAGCGACCCCGGGAGGAGCUCAAGCCGCAACGAUGGUCCACCGCGCCGGCGCCGUCGUCGACCGGCAGUGGAGGAGCAGCGGCGGCCAACGGCAGAUCGGCGUGUCAUGGGAGCAGACACGGCGGCUGUCACGGGCAGAGCAGAGCGAAGUUGGCAUGGCGGCUAGGCGGCUGUCCGGACUGGAUCCCGCCAUCACCACCAGCCCGCCUCGUUUGUCCGUGUCCAUCUCGGCGAAACCAAGGGUCUGCCUCGUGUCCUGCGAGGUGACACUCCACCGCCACCGCUCUGCUGCUUCCGCCCUACACUUCGCUCCCUCCGGUGCCAUCCUCACCUCCGACAAAAAGGACCUCUUGGACGUCAUUGCACAUGCUGGCCUCUUCCGACCCCGUGGCCACCGUGAUCAGGUAAUUGAUUUUGUGUUCCUGGAUUCGGGUAAGAAGCUAGUGACCUGCUCCAAGGACAAGGUUAUCUGGGUUUGGGACCUCGACACAUAACACUGCCUUCAAAUUGUAAGGUGUCCAUCACAUCAAGAUAUGGUCGAUGGAUGUUGAUUCUAGCGAGAAGUUUUUGGUGUCUGUCUCGGCCGAUCAAGAGCUGUGGGUGUUCAAAAUCAGGCAAUCAGCUGAACAGGGUGAAGAUUGGAACAAAUGGGAUGCACUUCACCAUUGAUCUAUUGUGAUUCCUUUUCCCCUUUAAUAACGUGUACGUAUAGGGUAGUCAAGCGCCACAGGAUAUCAACUUUUGUUGUGGAUAAGAGUGGGAUGAUCAAUCGGAUUGCCGGGGUAGUACAACAUUGAGUCAUUGGCAGUUGGGCUCAACAAGGACAAGGCGUUGUUCACCAUAGGGGUAUUAGGAACAGAGAAAAUACUCACACAAGGCAUGGAGCAGCUACAAACUUGUUAAUGUUAUACAGGUUGAUGAUUUGUCAAAGGAAUUUUAUUGCAAAUUCCUGUAGGCCUGAAAAUGCACACUAUCAUAACAGAGUAAUGUGCAAGUACACAAUGUCAUAGUAGAAAAAUAGAAUUUUGACUGAUUAUUUAACAUCACUGUGAGCUUUCCUUUAAAUUUGUGCCUUUUGAUUUACCCCUGCUAUUGUAUAAGUAUGUGUAGGUUGAUUUUGCUUAUUGUGUGUUUUAUACAGCGAGCAGCUUCCCUUGCGCCGUCAUCCAUCCACCAACAAGUCCAUGACCAUGCAUCAGGUCAUAAAAAAAUUCAAAAAUUAUUUCUUAUCAAUAUGUUUCAAAUAUGCUUCAGUUCUAAAUUUGUUCCCUUUUCCCUUCAUUUUUCCAAGAACUGUACUGUUUGGCAUUAGUAGAUACUUCUACUAAGGGACAGAUAUGUAUGAUAGGUUCAUUUCACUUUUUUUGGGGGGGGGGGGGGGGGGGAGAUCUCACUUCAUGUGUAUUAGUCCUUGCCGCAUGUGUGCUUUAUUGUGCAAAAUUGUUCCCUUUUGGGUAGAUGAAAGUGCAGAUUCCACCAAAGGAAGAUUUAGUAGGCUUUAUGUUAUCAAUUUAUUUUUGUUACAUGUUGCUAAAAGUAAAUGAAACGAAUUUCUUUCUGUUUUGGUUCAGAAAUAUUUAAUUUUGGGAGGAGAAAGGUCAUACAAGGAUGAGAAUGGGACACCAUAUUAUAGCGACGUGGUGAUUUUAUUCAGUUUAGUCAGAGGACAUACAUACGUACAAGUAGUUCCCUAAGGCGAAGGCCUUCCAUUUGCUGUUGCUGGCCAUGUAAAAUAGCAUGAACCUGAACCUAACUGCGAUUGGAUGUCUAAACUGAAUUGUUGCAUUCCUAGACAUGGAAAUGUGGAUCAGUUUUAGUUCUGAAGAAUCUGCAUACUUCUGGUCCUAUGUAAUUCCAAUUUAUUUAGACAAGCAUGCCAAAAGUGUUGAAACCCAAGUUAGGGUUCAAAUUCGUGGGGUUGUGCUUGCUGCUAAACUGAUCCUGGACUUUCUGUUGGCUAUAUUAUAAUUAGCAAAUGGAAGUGGAGAGAUAAAGCAUAAAUACUUGAUAAACUUUUUUUGUUGGGGCGGGGGAUGGUUUAGUCCAUAGUUAAAAAAGGCGCGCCUAAGCGAGCGCUUAAGCGCGCCUAGGCUCUAGGCGUUGACAAAACGCAUUGCGCAUAACUACGCUUAAUCUGUGCAUAACUGCGCAUAGGUUGCAAAACGCACAAUUAACGCCUAGCGCUUUUUUGAACUAUGGUUUAGGCACUUCAUGCAUUGUUGGUGUUGCAGACUUUUGCACUGCUACUAAAUGUCCUAUAUGUUAUUCUUUAGUAGGGAUAUUGGCAUAGAGAUACCGCAAUAAUAAAAACGAGAAUCCUCAUUACUCACAUAUAUAUUACUAUGUCCUUUUGUUUCCAUUGAGACCUAUUUUGUUUAUUCUUUUAGUUCCAAGGCAAAAUUCUCUGAUUUUUAGUAAUUCACAUUUAACAAGACAUGUGAAUGGAGGAUGGGAGGCAUUUAGAUGCAAGUCAGAAACUUCUUCUGCUAGCUUAUUUUAAGUUUAUUAUUUCCUUGCUCCCCUUUUCAUUGUAGAGAAUGAAAAGCAUCUUUCACGCUGCCAACGGGAUCUGGACCAAGAGGAUCAGGAGGACGAAUACAGUGGACACUACUACUCAGCAAGAUACAGUUCAAACCCUGUAUCCUCCUGAUUGAUCUCCCUUCGCCCCUGUUUAAGAAUCAUGUUUCACCCAUUCAGUGUUGUCUUCAGAAUUAUAGACACCUCAUUCUAUAAGGAGGCCGCCACCAAGAAGAGCGAGGUUGUGUCAAUGGACUCAGCGACAAGUUGUAGAAAGAAACAAGGCUUAUGUUAGGCAAAGUUGAUUAGGUUGUACUACACACCGAGUGCCUCCAUAAGAAUCUAGAUAAAAUGCCAUAAAAGACUGUUCUAGAUAAGAUGAUGGCUAUCAAUGUGAGCGACUGAGCUUUUAUGUCCAGAAAAUGCUCACUAAUAAAAUCUGGAAUGUCUUAUGUUUCUCAUCUUUUCUCUUCAUUUGUAUGGUUAAAGUUUGGCUUCAAACCAACAAAUAGUUAAUAUUAAAUUAAGCUAUUUUCCCGCUCCCCUCUUCAGUUGGCAAACCCAUCAAGGAAUUGUUGUAAUGAAUAUAUUUUAUAUGGUUACAUCCACAACAGGAAGAGAUCUUAAAUGCUA